GGGUGGAUCAGUGGCGAACGGGUGAGUAACACGUGAGCAACCUGCCCCUGACUCUGGGAUAAGCGCUGGAAACGGCGUCUAAUACUGGAUACGAGAUGUGACCGCAUGGUCGAUGUCUGGAAAGAUUUUUCGGUUGGGGAUGGGCUCGCGGCCUAUCAGCUUGUUGGUGAGGUAAUGGCUCACCAAGGCGUCGACGGGUAGCCGGCCUGAGAGGGUGACCGGCCACACUGGGACUGAGACACGGCCCAGACUCCUACGGGAGGCAGCAGUGGGGAAUAUUGCACAAUGGGCGGAAGCCUGAUGCAGCAACGCCGCGUGAGGGAUGACGGCCUUCGGGUUGUAAACCUCUUUUAGCAAGGAAGAAGCGAAAGUGACGGUACUUGCAGAAAAAGCGCCGGCUAACUACGUGCCAGCAGCCGCGGUAAUACGUAGGGCGCAAGCGUUAUCCGGAAUUAUUGGGCGUAAAGAGCUCGUAGGCGGUUUGUCGCGUCUGCUGUGAAAUCCCGAGGCUCAACCUCGGGCCUGCAGUGGGUACGGGCAGACUAGAGUGCGGUAGGGGAGAUUGGAAUUCCUGGUGUAGCGGUGGAAUGCGCAGAUAUCAGGAGGAACACCGAUGGCGAAGGCAGAUCUCUGGGCCGUAACUGACGCUGAGGAGCGAAAGGGUGGGGAGCAAACAGGCUUAGAUACCCU
rnacentral:rRNA from 1 species